rnacentral:lncRNA from 1 species
CGAAUAGAUCGCCUCCGAAUGAUUUAUCGGAUGGAUCCUUGCCGUCCAAGAAAGCAGAUGGCAUUAAUGGCCCGAUUCCGAUCAAGUUGAACUCGUCAAUUGCUUUUAACGCCUCCGGCUCAAGUGCAUCGAACGUGUUCACCAGGAUGGUUGGCUUGCUUUCUUUUCGUAGCAGUUCGAACUGUUCUUCGAUCAAUGGGAGAGCGAAAUUGUACGGAUUCGAAUCCACCAUGAAGGAGGGCAGGUCACGGCUCUUCAGCACUAGUGGCAGUCCUGGUAAUUCUACUGCAUGGGAAGGGUCACUGUUAUUAGCCGUGGCACUGUUUCUGAUGAGGUCUUUGUAGCCGUUAAAAUAAUAGUAGUAUAUGUCGAACACUGCGGCGGGCUGAAUCCAAACGAGCGCAGCCUGGAGGUGAAGUUCACUCGCCACUACCGCCACCCAAGGGAGUAGUAUGGUGUACACCAUGCAAGUGUAAGGGCGGCCCUCGUUCGCACUAGACACCACGAUAUCCGCGAGAGCUCGCGAGCCACGGCUCCUUAGCUCGGACAUGUAGAGAUCUAUGUCGUCCCCGGGCUUAAACCCGUCGUCAUAGCCGUCAGAGAAGGGAGCAAAAGUCAGGCCACGAGGAGUGCACGAGCCAUUGCCUAUGCGGCGAAGCGCAGAUGUGGCCGUGAAAAAGGUCACGUCCGCGCCCGUGGUGCUGAUGAGACGCUUUGCGAAUUGCAUGGAAGGAUUGAUGUGGCCUUGAGCGGGGAAUGUGAUGAGAAGGAAGCGGUGUUGCGUCAUGGUGGUGGUUGCGUUGCGGAGGCGCGUAGUGCAGAGUGGAGUUGUUGCGACUAGAAGUAUAUACGUGUAGGGAUGUUUGGUGCAAAAAUUGUACGAGUUAUGGAUUGAGCUUGGAGAUGAGGAAGUUCUUGAUGUUGGGAGAUGUAAGAUGUAACUUGGAGAUGGGAGGAGCAUGUCAAGAGUUUAUAUAAGUAGAAGGGGUGAGAGAGCGGAGAGUCAAAAACUCAAAAUGACGUUUGUGGUGACGAAUUUAAGAGGCGUAGACAAGAAAGAUGAGAAAGGCUAAUUUGUGGUGUUGUGGAAAUGAGGAUUGUUCUAUCAGUUAGUACGUCAGAGAGGGC